CACCGGGGGAUAACGGAGCGAAAAGUCCGAUCGUCCGAGCAUACACGGAUCCGUUCUACUUUAGCCCAGGAAAAGCCCUCGCGAUGAACCCACGAUAAAAGCGGUUGCCUUCCGUCUUUUUUCUUUUCCUUCUCUCUCCCUUUCCGAACGAUCAAAAGAUUCCAAUCGUAUCGUCGACGAUAGUCGCGUAAAUCCAAGCGUAAAAUUCCUUUCGGAAAGCGAGAGAAAAAAAUGUCACUCGAACUCGCGAACGAGACGACGAAAAAAACGGGACAAAGCAUUUUCUUGUUGUUGCGUGUAUAUCUGAACGUAGAAACCUCUCUCUCUCUCUCUCUCUCUCUCUCUCUUUCUCCCUCAUAAUUGUACUUUUGUUCGUAACUUUUCUCUCUCUAUCUCUAACGAUUAUCAGUUUUAAUUUUGAAAGUGCAUCGUCGCAAUUAAGUUGAGAGCUAACGCAGAUUGGUCUCGGUGAGUUACGAACUAUCUCAUCGCUAAACGACGGAAUUUCGUCGGUACGUUCUUGAACGACGUAACGAAUGUGUGCAUUUGCUAAAUGCACGUGCGCAAUCACGCUCGUAAACGAACGAUGCUCUCUAACAAUAACUUUAACAAUUUUCGAGUCUCGCACGAGCACGGCUACAUAAAUUCUUUCUUCCAAAUUUUCCGCUACGACGUUCCUUUCUUAUUUCUUUUUUCUUCCACGAUCUUUCACCGACCGUUUCUCGACAGCUUUUUACGUACAUGUACUUUUUACGCAUACGCGCGUAUCAUAUAUACCAACGUGUAGGCAUACAUAUCUAUAGUUGAUGUUUUAUUUAUAAACUCGGACGCGGUUCGAGAAAUAUAUUUAUAUCUUCCGCGUUCCUCCAUUAUCGAGCAACAAAGGAGCCUCGCGCUUCCUGAAAAGGAUCGACCUGUUUUCGUAGCACUUAUAAAAGCACGGUGCGCAAGGUCGUCGGAAUUCAGUUCACCGUAACGCUCGAGACAGUUCGGUCCGAGCGAACUAUGCAAACGAAAAAUCCUCGACGAAGACAGAGACGAGCUUUUUCUCUGGCCAAUUGGACCAAUUUUAUUUUUGACGAACUUUCUCGAGAUUUCCUCGGCGAUCGAUACUUUUGAAACGCAGAAGGAAGAAGAAGAGGCAGACGCGUAUGUCCACGAGGCGUUCGCUCGAGUAAUCGUCGAAGGCGCGAUCGAAGGAAGAGGAAAGAUGGGUAAUCAUUUUUACGAGGAAACGCGUACGCGCAAAUUUGAAUGCAUUCGUACUAAUUACGAAAUGAAUUUACUCAAACGUAAUUAACGAUAAGGUAGCACGCUUAUUAGCUCUUGUUCGAAAUUCUAAAACUAUCGAGAGAACUCGUAGAACCAGCCGGCGAACUUUAUUAUCUCCAGCUACCGAACCUAAGAUGCGAAAGUCAUUAUUGCGAGCGGGAUGAGAGAGAGAAGGAGAGGAGGCAGGAAGGAAGGAGAUGAACGGAGUGCGGCCUCAAUUGAAAAAUAUUACUUUUCCGGACGCGGAACGACGGGGGAAAAAAUUAAAUCGCAUCGACCUUUCUUAAUUACCUUUUGCGGUAUUAUGCGAAAAAAAAGAGGAGAGGGGAAAGAAAGAGGAAAAAGAAGGAAAGGGAAUUAAUCUCACCUUCCCUUCUACCUCUUUUUCUCUUUCUUGCAAACGCGGAAAGAUAUAUCUCGGUCGUUUCAUCGAACCGCCGCGGCGCAUCGUUUCCGCCGAUCCUCCUCUCCUUCGUCUUUAUUAUAAUAAUAGUCCGAAUGGUCCGAAUAGUAGUAGCGAGUCGAACGUUUCUGUCUUUAGAAUCGUUUCGCGUAAAACGUUUAACGUCUUCGCGUAAUGUCUACCAUUUAUAUCUCUGAAUAUCAUUCCACCGUCGAGAACAAUGGACGCAGCAGCCAACGCUCCGGCCAUCUUAUUUAAGCUCGAACGAGCGACCUUUUCAACGAAUAGUAAAUCGAGCCGCUGACAGGAAAAGUACUCACUCGUUCCUACGUUCGGCCGUUCGACGCGCGGAAGACGCGAAAACGCGGAACGGAGAGGACGUCGCAGAAUUCGGUUACCGAGAUUCGUUUUUUUCCCCCGUAAUAGGAGUUGUUCGUACUCGAGGGACAUAGGCGGGCUCGCGUCCGGUCCGAAAAAGAUCCGAGGAUGCGGGCGCUUCGACGAUGGGAGCGUCUUCUUUGGAAGGAUCGAAGAGAGGGAGGGUGGAUCGCAUCCGAGCGCACUCUCCCAGAGCGCGAUGCUCGAGGUUUCCGAGGCCACCUGUUGGCAGAGAAGACGUAAACUCGGCCGCAAACAAUGACGGGGAGGACCGAGGAGGAACAUGACGAGAAACGGAAAGAGAAGUAAGAAGAAGGAGGUGGAGGAGGAGCAGGAGGACAAUUCCAAAGCUUCGACCGGUCGCUCGUGUCAAACGAAUCGUUCGGCUCUCCGUUGAUUAAACGUUUUAUUAGUUAAA